AAACCGGAAGUGUCAUCCGCUAGAGUGAUUCUACUACGAAGUCAGGUGAUUAUUUGUACUUCGAGAACCAAACUGAACUGAAUAAAUCCAAAGAAGGACAAAAUGAUUUUGAGCACCAAGUCUUGAUCAAAGCCGCACGCGCCUGGAGACGGAUGUGACGACAUCAACGAUGCGAGAAACAUUUUCGACAGAAUUCGUUCCCAGCGUUAGCUAACUUGGCUAAGCUAAGCUACGACUUCACCCGCCGGAAACUGGUGGAAACGCAUAAAUAAACUGGAUGUAACACCUCCACGUUAAAAGUGGAGCCUGAAGACUAAAUUGGAUGUACCACCUCCAAGCUGC